AUUGAACGCUGGCGGCAUGCCUUACACAUGCAAGUCGAACGGCAGCGCGGGAGCAAUCCUGGCGGCGAGUGGCGAACGGGUGAGUAAUGCAUCGGAACGUGCCUAGUAGUGGGGGAUAACUGCUCGAAAGAGCAGCUAAUACCGCAUACGACCUGAGGGUGAAAGGGGGGGAUCGCAAGACCUCUCGCUAUUAGAGCGGCCGAUGUCGGAUUAGCUAGUUGGUGGGGUAAAGGCCCACCAAGGCAACGAUCCGUAGCUGGUCUGAGAGGACGCGCAGCCACACUGGGACUGGGACACGGCCCAGACUCCUACGGGAGGCAGCAGUGGGGAAUUUUGGACAAUGGACGCAAGUCUGAUCCAGCCAUGCCGCGUGCGGGAAGAAGGCCUUCGGGUUGUAAACCGCUUUUGUCAGGGAAGAAAUCUUCUGGGCUAAUACCCUGGGAGGAUGACGGUACCUGAAGAAUAAGCACCGGCUAACUACGUGCCAGCCGCCGCCGUAAAAC
rnacentral:rRNA from 1 species